rnacentral:lncRNA from 1 species
GGAGGGGGAUGGAGAGGGAGAGGGGGAGGGAGAUGGAGAUGGAGGGAGAGGGAGAUGGAUAUGGAGGGGGAGAGGGGGAGGGAGUGGGAGAGGGAGAGGGAGGGAGGGAGGGAGAGAGCGAGAGGGAGGGAGAGAGGGAGAGAGAGAGGGAGAGAGAGGGGAGAGAGAGAGGCAGAGGGAGGGAGAGAGAGGUAGAGGGGGAGAGGGAGAGGGAGAGGGAGAGGGGGAGGGAGAGGUAGAGGGAGGGAGAGGGAGAGGGAGGGGGAGAAGGAGAGGGAGGGAGACACAGAGGGAGAGGGAGAGAGGGAGAGAGUGAGAGGGAGAGUGAGAGGGAGAGGGAGAGGGAGAGGGAGAGAGAGGGACAGGGAGAGGGAGAGGGGGAGAGAGGG